GGCCAGUGAGUGGGGUGGAGCGCGGCCGGCGGCCGCCCCCGGCCGGUCUCGGGCCCGCAGCCCGCCCGCCUGAGCCUCGGCCGGCCCGGCCCGGGGCGGCGGCCGGAGCCCGGAGUGCGCGCCCGGCUCCCCUCCCCCCGCGGGUAAGUGGAAGUCAGGAGGGACCCAGGAGGGAGGCCGGGAGCGAUCGGCGCCUCGGCGGCAGCGGCGCCGGCAACUUUUCCGCGCCUGGCUCGUGGGCGGAGUGGGGCUGCGCCCGGCGGGUCCCCAAGAGCGUUGCGAGAAGGCGAGGGCGCCGCCCCGCGCGCCUUGAGCGCCCCGCCGCCCGGGGUGGGUCGGGGAUCGGGGACAGUGCGUCUGACGGUGGCGACGGCGGCCGCGGAGUCCCGGGGCGCCCCCUACGGAGCGGGGGAAGGGCGGCCCGGCCUCUGUUCCCUUCCCAGUGGCCCCUCCACCCCGACCCCCCAGGGGACGCAUGGGAAUGCGGUGGGGAGGGCGGGUCCCCGCGCGACUUGGGCAGGUCAAGGUGGGCAGAGAGUUGUCAGGGUGGGAGGGCUUGUGUCCGGCUCGGACAUGGGGCUUGGGUUGAGGGGCUUGGAUAUGCAUAUGCCUACCCCACUCCUAGCCCCCCGACCUGGCCUUUGGACGGGAGGAAUGGGUUGGGGGGGUCUCUCAGAGUUCUUUGGGUGGGGGCGGGGGUGGAUACCGGUCCAAGUUCUUGACGUGUCGCCCGCUGGGUAGGGGGAAGGUCUCUUGUUGGGCAGGGGCUGGUGGGAGCUGGGGGGAUGUCUCCUUUCCCUUCGGAGAAAAGCGCUCAUUCAAGGUUGCAUAGGAAGGAAAGCCAGGUUGGGGACCAGCCCUGUGCAGCUUGGGGUCCCCGUGCCUUUUGGCUGAAGGAGGAGGUUAAAAGGGCCCAGACUGAACCCCGACCCCUCUGUCUUAGCCCCAGACUGUUUUCUGAUUUUAGCACUAGAUUUGGCUGCCCCUAAAGCCCUUAGCCCUAACUGACCUUCCUGCCCAGCCCAGCCCAGCCCAGCCCAGCCAGGCCCCAGACCCAGUGGCUUCUUGAAUGUUUUGGCUGUGCAGCUGGCUCCUUGUCACCUGCCCCCUUCCCAACCUUCCCCAGCUGGCAGCCUCUGACUCCUGGUCUAUGAGGGUGAGGCUGGGGGCUGGGGGACCCCUGGCAUAAGGGGUGUCCUCUGGCAGUCCUGCCCCAGCUGGAGGGCUGUACCCAACAGGUGCCCAGGCUUAGAGGCGAGGUGAUGUUGGACACACCCUGUCCGCUCGCCCACAUGCCCUGCCCGGGCCAGCCUGGGUACAUGUGUUCACAUGCCGAUGUCCUGGGAAGGCACAGGCCCUGGGGCUGGUGCUAGCUUUGUUCUCUGAUCCCGUGAGGCACCCAUGGCCCUCUGCCCUUGCAGCACGUCCUCUGGGAGCUCCUUCAAGACCCCAACAGGCAGGCCUUGCCUGUGGAUCUAGAGGGGGCCCUAAAAUAGGUGCCGGCCUGGCCUGGGGCUGGCACGCGGAGCACAUGCGUGACAGGGCGUGUCCAGAGGGUCGGGCCUGUCUGUGCUGGCCUGGCCACUGAGCCUCCGCCGACCCUUGCUCGCUGGAGAAAGACAGCAGAGGCGGAUGCUUUAGGAGGGACCCCCGUGUCGUGCCCACCCUCUAACAAUGCAAGUGGACGCCAGAUGUUCCAUGCAGACCGCAGCUGCGGGGCAGGCCCCCAUCUAUCUGCAAUCCCAGGGUAAUUAGCCCGGUGGGUACACUGGGGUGACCCGCUCGCCCGAUCUAGGUGGUGCUUUGAUACCUCUUAAAGCAUUUUUUGGAGUUUGCCCUUCACCUUGGAAAGCUGGGUGGGGGAUUCUGUCCUCCAUGAAUAACGGCGCCAGGAACCUUGGGCGAUCUUGAGAAAACUCCUUCCUGUAACCUCUGUUUUCCACGUUGGAUGUGUUUUAGGCCACAGUCAGGCCUGGCUUUUUUUUUUUUUUUUUUUUAAGACUUAUUCCAUGACCUUAAGCCCCAGUCUGAAUCUCUGAGCCUUAAUUAUUCUAUCUAUAAAUGGGAAGCAUUUGGAAAUGGGACGGAGAGAAGUGUACACUUUGCCCCUGGCCGCCUUCUUCCCUCCUGGUGUCCUGGGUGGACACGGAGGUGUGUCUGGGGAAGGUGUGUCCUUUAGGGCCGGUCGCCUGGGAAGGAUGUUGAGCGGAGGGCAGUGGGUGUGGGUGAGAAUCCCUGGGCAGAGAAGGGCGCCGCCAUGCUGGGCACGGCUGAGUCACGCUCCAGCGACGCCUUGCCCCAGGGUGCUGGAGCUGGCGCCACCCUGGGUGUGGUCACUGAGCUGUGGCCCUGGGCAGAGCAGGGCUGGGUGGUCUAGGAUGUGGGGCCUCGGUGCCUGGGGAACUGACUUCGAAGAUGCCAAGCCCCCUGGCCUCCCGCCUGGCCUAGGUUCUGGGGUCACCCUCCAGGACUGUGGUGGCCCACACCCUGAGAAUGCCUUGGAGAGCCUAGAGGCCCUGAGCCUUGGGCCUGGGAAUCGGUGCGUUGAGGGAGGUGGAUAGGGCGCAGACACCAGUGACUGCAUUCAAGGCCAGGGGACCCCCACAGCCAGGCCCUCACUGCAAAAUGUACCUAUGUGGGGAGAAGGCAGGGGUGGACCUGAUGACGGGGUGUACCACUCUACUAAGGGUUCCCAACAUGAAGGUGAGGGGGCCCCUGGGAAUUCUGUGAUUGGUCUGGGAAAGAUUAAAGUCUAAGUGGGGGUUAGAGUGUGGACUGGCGGGACGCAAUGGGGGCUGGGAUGUCACUUUCAUGGUUCCCCUAUUUAUAACAAGUGAUUCAGCCCUCACUUACUCACCCCUUCCUGAGCCUCCCCCCACCCCAGCCCUGGGUGGGCAGCGGGGCCCACCCACUUGUCAGUGCCCUGACUUUCCCUACCCAGUGCCACCCUCUGAGGGCUGCCCAUCGGGGCGGUUGUUAUUGUCGCUGCACUGGGAUUGGGGCAGAGGGGCGGGGGGCUCCUGGUCAGGCGGCGCUUGGCCGGGCAGCCCAGGUUGGCGGCUGGCUCGAGGCCCAGCCCACGGAGCUUCUGCUGAGAGUCUGGGCCCAUUAGGCAAAGCGUUAGUGACAGGCUGGGAGGGCGGGUGGCGCGGCGGGCAGGGCGGGGCCUGCAGCCCUUGGUAUUUUCCGAUCCCAGCUGCUCUGUGAGGGUGGAAAGUAUUUGGGGACCAGGCUUGGGGGCGGAGGUGGUGGUGGCGCCCCCGGCGGAAGCUGCCCCUGAUUCAUUCUUGGAGCAUGGGGUUGGGGGGGUAGCGGUACACAUACAUACCCUUGUGUGUCUGGUCCACGCACACGCUGUCUGGAGGGGGUAUUCAGGCAUACCCACAUGCAUUGGCUGGCCGGGGUGUCCUGAUGCAGCCUGGGGCCUGCUUUGCUCCCCAGCCCAGGGGCCCGCCCUCUCCCUCAUGCCUCCAGCUGCUAGGAGCUUGGUUUCCCCCUGGACACCAUCUCCCAAGAGCCUGAGAAGUGCACCAUGAUUGGUAAAGGGGACCCUGUCUCCUGGGCACCUGCAUGGCAGCACCCCUUCCACUCAAGACCCAGACCUUUUGUGCCUGCGGGGAUGGGGAGUGGCCUUGGCCCCGGCCCUGGGCUCUGUGCAGGGGAAACCCCACAGGAAACGAGCCUGGCCAAAUGGCCGCCCUUCCCGUUCUCGUCCCUGGGACACGAAUGUGCUGUCUCACUUCCGGAGGCGGCCCAGGGAGGCUGGCCGCCCUGCGGGGCCUCGCCUGCUCCCAGUUGGCGCCUCCAGACCCUAAGGGGACAGGGCUGGGCUGGGGCCUGAUGGGAAAGAGUGGCUGGUAUGUGUGUAUGUGUGUAUAGGGAGGGGACAAAACAGGACAUCACUCGCCGCCUGUCUCGAAGUGGUGAGCGCCACCACAUCGGGCGGACACUGGGGUCCUGGUGUGAGACACCCACGUUUCCGUUAUCCUUUGCCUUGGCAAAGACAGCAGCAGCUCUGUCGUGAUCAUGUUUAUCACUCAUGGGGUCCUCACCAUGACUUAUGAAGUCCAUACUUAUUAUCCCUGUUUUGCAGAUGGGGAAGCUGAGGCCCAGAGAGGUUGAGUGACUUGCCCAGAGUCACCCAGCUCAGAAGCUGCAGAGCUGGGGCUUUCAAAUCUGGGCAGACUUGGGCUCCAAAACUGGAGUCUGCUAGCCAGGUGUUGGGCUCUUAUCAAAAGAAGCUCCACUCACUAAAGACUUAGGGCUGGCUUCAUGCAUUUGUGAAACGGGCAGUCUCACGGCAGCCCUGCUUGGAGGGACCUGGAGGUUAGUUUAAUGUUGCACUGCUGGGGUCAUGAAUUUUUUUUUAUUAUUAUUAAUUUUUUUGUCUUGUAUUGCCCAGGCUGGUCUCGAACUCCUGGCCCCAAGCGAUCUUCCUGUCUUGGCCUCCCGAAGUGCCGGGAUUAUAGGGAUGAGCCACCGCGCUCAGCCUGAAAUUAUUUUCUUUUUUUAAACUUGUUUUUGUUUAUUUUAGAGAUAGGGUCUUGCUCUGUCACUUAGGCUGGAGUUCAGUGGCAUGGUCAUAGAUCACGGCAGCCUCAAACUCCUGGGCUCAAGCAGUCCUCCCACCUCAGCCGCCUGAGUAGCUGGGGCUACAGAUGUGUACCACCACUCCUGGCUGAUUUUUUAGUGAAUUUUUUGUGGGCCAGACACUGUGGCUCAGGCCUGUAAGCCCAGCACUUUGGGAGGCUGAGGCAGGCGGAUUGCUUGAGCCCAGGAGUUGGAGACCAGUCUGGGCAACAUGGCAAAACCCCAUCUCUACAAAAAUUAGGGCCAGGUGUGGUGGCUCACGCCUGUAAUCCCAGCACUUUGGAAAGCCGAGGUGGGCGGAUCACCUGAGGUCAGGAGGUCGAGACCAGCCUGGCCAACAUGGUGAAACCCCGUCUCUACUAAAAAUACAAAACUUAACUGGGCGUGGUGGCGGGCACCUGUAAUCCCAGCUACUCGGGAGGCUGAAGCAGGAGAAUUGCUUGAACUCUGGAGGUGGAGGUUGCAGUGAACCGAGAUCACGCCAUUGCACUCCAGCCUGGGCGACAGGGCGAGACUCUGUCUCAAAAAAAAAAAAAAAGAAAAGAAAAAGAAAAAAUUAGCCGGGCAUGGUGGUGCAUAGCUGUAGUCCCAGCUACCCCGGAGGCUAAGGUGGGAGGAUCACUUGAACCUGGGAGGCUGAGGCUGCAGUGAGCUGUGAUUGCACCCCUGCACUCUAGCCGUGGCGACAGAGUGAGACCCUGUCUCAAAAAAGAAAAAAUAUUUUUUUUUUUUGUAGAGAUGGGGUAUUGUCGUAUUGCGCAGGCUGGUCUUGAACUCCUGGCCUCAGGUGACUCUCCUGCCUCGGCCUCCCAAAGUGCUGGGAUUACAGGCGUGAGCCGCCAUGCUUGGCCUGAAAUUCUUAGUUUUCGAACUAGAGGACCACGUGUUCAUUUUGCACCGGGUCCUGAAAAUCCUGUAUCUUGCCCUGGUGCUGGGCACUUACUGAGUGACAUACAUACUCGGUGACAUCUCACUGGGCUAUGCAAAAGAGGCUCUUGGCUCCAUUUUACAGAUGGGGAAACUGAAGCUUUGGAGAGUCUUUGGGAAACUGUGGAGCAAGGAUUUGAACCUUGGGCUGUUUGGGUGGAGAGGCCUGUAUCUUGGAGCUUGGAUCCUGUGCUCUGGGGGGCGGGGGGUGCGUGUCUAGAAAGAGAGGGGGGUGCCUUGCUGCCGGCAUCCGCCCUGGUGGGUGUGGGCUAAGCCCUGGCCACUGAGGAGACCGGGCCACGGGGGGGGAGGCCCUGGUGGUUUCCUCCUGCCCUCCAGGCUUCUAGGAAGUGGCGCCAGCUGGGGUGAGAUCACUUCCUCACCCGCCUGCCUGGCCCCCCUUGGCUUCCUCUCCCCAUGGCCCCAUUUGGCCUGCCCAGGGCUCAAUGAGGGGGGAGCUUGGCCAUGCAAGUUGCUGUAGCCUCCUUGUCCCGCAUGGGCCCUCUAGGUAUCUCUGCCUCUCCAGUCCUGGGGCUGGAACGGAGGGCACAGCUAGGCUCCAGCUCCCCGUGUGGUGGCUCCUGCAUAUGAGAAAAGAGCUUCCCUGUGAUCAAAGGAAGCAUCUGGGGACCUGGAGGGGAGGUGUCCCCAAAUCUCAUUACCUCCUUUGCUCUCUCUCUCUUUCUCCCCUCCAGGUGCCAGCCUCUGGCCCCGCCCGGUGCCCCCCUCACCCCUGUGCCACGGCCGGCUGGGGUUCCUGGGGAUGGGAUUUGCUUCCUGUCACAAAUCACAUUGCCAGGGAUUUCCAACCGACCCUGAGCUCUGCCACCGAGGAUGCUGCCCGGGGACGGGGUGGCAGAGAGGCCCCGAAGCCUGUGCCUGGCCUGAGGAGCAGGGCUUAGCUGCUUGUGAGCAGGGUCCACACCAAGUCGUGUUCACAGUGGCUAAGUUCCGCCCCCCAGGCCCUCACCUCCUCUGGCCUUGCCGCCUGUCCCCUGCUGCCGCCUGUCUGCCUGCCAUCCUGCUGCCUGGCCUCCCUGGGCUCUGCCUCCCGUGCCUACUGAGCUGAAACACAGUUGGUUUGUGUACACUGGCUCAGUUCAGCAGGAACAGGGGUCAAGCCCCCUUGGAGCCUGCAGCCCCUGCCUUCCCUGGGUGGGCUGAUGCUUGGAGCAGAGAUGAGGACUCAGAAUCAGACCUGUGUCUGGAGGAGGGAUGUGGUGGGUGGGGUUGGCUGGGCCCAAAUGUGUGCUGCAGGCCCUGAUCCCCAACUCUGCAACUGGGGACCCCUGCAUGGCCACAGCUCAGGCUGGGCUGUGGUGCCAGCAUAGAUAGGUGGGUGAGUGGGUGGCCCUUCCAUUAAAAGGGAAGCCAGCUGUGUCCUUUCCGGGCCUGGAGGCUUGGCCCCUCCUCUCCCAAGCCUGGCAGGGGCACUGGCCCGGCCCGCACCUUCCUAGCAGCCAGUUACCCAAGAGGAAGCUGCCUUGGGCCUCCAGACCGUUAAAUGCCAACUCCUGGCUUCCGGUAUCAGGCUGGGUUGACCUGACCUGGCCCCUUCUUGCUGGGCCCUGCAGCUUUCUAACUUGCCGGGAGGAGCAGUGACACCCGCCCCACAUGUGGGGCAUGGAACAAGUUCCUUGUGGACCCAGAAGGGACACAAGCAGGUGUGCUUAGUCCUGAGGCGCUGGGAAUAGCUGAUCCUCCCUGCCUUGAGGGGGUUCUCAGGGCAGGGAAGAGUUAGGACUCUGUUUUUUUUUUUUUGUUUUUUUUUUUUUGAGAUGGAGUCUCGCACUGUCACCCGGGCUGGAGUGCAAUGGCUCGAUCUCGGCUCACUGCAACCUCCACCUCCCCAGUUCACACGAUUCUCCUGCCUCAGCCUCCCAAGUAGCUGGGAUUACAGGUGCACACCACCGCACCUGGCUAAUUUUUGUAUUUUUAGUAGAGACCGAGUUUCGCCAUGUUGGCCAGGCUGGUCUCGAACUCUUGACCUCAGGUGAUCUGCCCGCCUCAGCCACCCAAAGUGUUGGGAUUACAGGCAUGAGCCACUGCGCCCGGCCAAUUUUUUUUUAUGUUUUGUAGAGACGGGGUUUCGCCAUGUUACCCAGACUGGUCUUGAACUCCUGACCUCAAGCAAUCUGCUCGUCUUAGCCUCCCAAAGUGCUGGGAUUACAGCUGUGAGCCACCGUGCCUGGCCUUUUAUUGUUUGUUUUUGAGACGGAGUCUCACUCUGUUGCCCAGGCUGAAGUGCAGUGGUGUGAUCUUGGCUCACUGCAACCUCUGCCUCCUGGGUUCAAGCGAUUCUCCUGCCUCAGCCUCCUGAGUAGCUGGGCUUACAGGCACCCACCACCAUGCCCGGCUAAUCUUUGUAUUUUUAGUAGAGACGGGGUUUCACCAUCUUGGCCAGGCUGGUGUGAUCAUGGCUCAUUGCAACCUUGAAUUCCUGGGCACAAGUGAUCCUCCUGCCUUAGCCUCCCCAGUAGAGCUGGGACUACAGGUAUGCGCCACCACACCUGGCUAAUUUUUUUAAUUUUAAUUUUUGUAGAGAUGGGGGGGCAGGUCUCACUAUGUUGCCCAGGCUGUUCUCGAACUCCUGGCCACAAGCCAUCCUCCCACCUUAGUCUCCCAAUGCGCCGGAAUUACAGGUGGCUCAGGUGUGAGCCACCGUGCCUGGCUUUUCUCCACUAUCUUGAAAUCAGAUGGGAGGAGGCUUUUUUCUGGGUGGGACUGAGGAGGCACACUGAAGUCCCCCAGGUCAUCGGGGCUGGGCCAUUGCCUUUUUCCCCACCCUGGGUAGUCGUGGACAGAAGCUUGGGAUGGGAUGGAGAGGAGAGAUCGUGCUGUGUGUCAUGUCUGUUGUUCAAGUAAAUAAAAGUUGCCCUGACUUCA